rnacentral:rRNA from 1 species
UACGGGGGGGGGCAAGCGUUGUUCGGAAUUACUGGGCGUAAAGGGCGCGUAGGCGGCUCAUGAAGGCUGUGGUGAAAGUCCGGGGCUCAACCUCGGAUCGGCCGUGGCGACUCGUGGGCUGGAGCACUGUAGAGGCGGGUGGAAUUCCGGGUGUAGCGGUGGAAUGCGCAGAUAUCAGGAGGAACACCGGUGGCGAAGGCGGGUCUCUGGGCAGUAACUGACGCUGAGGAGCGAAAGCGUGGGGAGCGAACAGG